CAAUAACCAAUGAUGGAGAAGAGUAAUUAAGAAACACAUGAAAAGAGAGGAAAUGCCGAGGCUGAAAGCAUUCCACAUGAUGACUUAAUGAAAGAACCCUCCGUAGGCUUCACUCCGAACGGAUUUACUUAAUAGGAGAUGGACGUAAAACAGGCGUUAACUGUUUUUGAGCGGGGGCACUUUUUUUUGUGCUUCAACUAGGGUGGCACCACGGGAUAUCCAAACUCUCGUCCCUUGU
rnacentral:ncRNA from 1 species